rnacentral:rRNA from 1 species
GUCUACGGCCAUGCUACCCUGAACACGCCCAAUCCCGUCUGGUCUUGGAAGCUAAGCAGGGUCGGGCCUGGUUAGUAGGCAUAAAAAAAUAAAAAAUAAGGGCUUGUAAGCU